ACCGGGUGUGGUGGCGCAUGCCCGUAAUCCCUGUGGCUUGGGAGGCUGAGGCAGGAGGAUCACAAGUUCAAAGCCAGCCUCAGCAGCUUAGUGAGGCCCUAAGUGACUGAGGGAGACCCUGUCUCUA
rnacentral:sRNA from 1 species